ACAUGUUUAUGGCAUGGUGUUAAUUCACCGGAUCCCAUUAGAAAUCCAUAGUUAAGCAUGCUCGGGCUAGAGUAGUACUAGGAUGGGUGACCGCCCAUGAAAUCUUAGUAUUUUACAUGCC
rnacentral:rRNA from 1 species